rnacentral:rRNA from 1 species
AUUGAACGCUGGCGGCAGGCUUAACACAUGCAAGUCGAGCGAGCGGCGGACGGGUGAGUAAUGUCUGGGAAAAUGCCUGAUGGAGGGGGAUAACUACUGGAAACGGUAGCUAAUACCGCAUACCAUCAGAUGUGCCCAGAUGGGAUUAGCUAGUAGGUGGGGUAAGGGCUCACCUAGGCGACGAUCCCUAGCUGGUCUGAGAGGAUGACCAGCCACACGGGAACGGAGACACGGUCCCAACUCCUACGGGAGGCAGCAGUGGGGAAUAUUGCACAAUGAGCGAAAGCCGGAUGCAGCAAUGCCGCGUGUGUGAAGAAGGCCUUCGGGUUGUAAAGCACUUUCAGCGAGGAGGCGUUACUCGAAGAAGAAGCACCGGCUAACUCCGUGCCAGCAGCCGCGGUAAUUC